AGGUCUUGGUCUUGAACCUCACAUUACCUAAAACCAUCUGUUUAUACAUGCAAGCCUCACCACAACGGUGAAACAGCCAUAACCCAAAGCCCGGCAUCAGCCUAUUUAGCCACGACGCCAAGCAACAGCCACACCCCCACGGGCAACACAGCAGUAAUUAACAUUAGGCCAUAAGUGAAAACUUGACCAAGCAAGAUGGAUAAGAGCCGGUUAACCUCGUGCCAGCGACCGCGGUUACACGAUGGGCUCUAGGCAAUAUUAACGGCGUAAAAAUGACUAAAACUCUUAACAGUCUUCAGCCUGGGGAAGAAGUCGGACUGGGCUGUAAAAAGCCAUAAGCCACACUAAUCAUGCCCCAACACCACACAACUUUGACUCAUGAAAGCUAGGACACAAACUAGGAUUAGAUACCCUACUAUGCCCAGCCGUAACACACAAUUAAAUCACCAAUUGUUCGCCAAACAACUACGAGUCCUACUUAAAACUUAAAAGACUUGACGGUACUUCACCCCGCCCUAGAGGAGCCUGUCUAAUAACCGACAACCCACGAUUAACCCAGCCCCUUUUUGCCCAACAGUCUAUAUACCGCCGUCGCCAGCUUACCUUGUGAAAGAAAUAAAGUGAGCCAAAUAGUCCCACACUAAAACGACAGGUCGAGGUGUAACUCAUGAAGGGGCCCAAGAUGGGCUACAUUCUCCAACCGAGCACACGGACAACACUAUGAAACUAGUCUUUAAAGGCGGAUUUAGCAGUAAGAUAAGAAUAAAACACUUAACUGAACAUAACGCAAUGAAGUGCGUACACACCGCCCGUCACCCCUGCCACCACAAUAAUAAACCUUAAUAAAUCGACUAAAAAAUCCAAACAGGGCAAGUCGUAACAUGGUAAGUGUACUGGAAAGUGCACUUAGAAA
rnacentral:ncRNA from 1 species